rnacentral:rRNA from 1 species
ACGGAAGGCAGCAGUGGGGAAUAUUGCACAAUGGGGGAAACCCUGAUGCAGCGACGCCGCGUGAAGGAAGAAGUAUCUCGGUAUGUAAACUUCUAUCAGCAGGGAAGAUAAUGACGGUACCUGACUAAGAAGCCCCGGCUAACUACGUGCCAGCAGCCGCGGUAAUACGCAGGGGGCAAGCGUUAUCCGGAUUUACUGGGUGUAAAGGGAGCGUAGACGGACUGGCAAGUCUGAUGUGAAAGGCUGGGGCUCAACCCCGGGACUGCAUUGGAAACUGUCAGUCUUGAGUGCCGGAGGGGUAAGCGGAAUUCCUAGUGUAGCGGUGAAAUGCGUAGAUAUUAGGAGGAACACCAGUGGCGAAGGCGGCUUACUGGACGGUAACUGACGUUGAGGCUCGAAAGCGUGGGGAGCAAACAGGAUUAGAUACCCUGGUA